rnacentral:rRNA from 1 species
GUCGAGAAUCUUUCACAAUGGGGGCAACCCUGAUGGAGCGACGCCGCGUGGAGGAUAAGGUCUUCGGAUUGUAAACUCCUGUCAUGCGUGAACAAGGUUGCUUGGUUAAUACCUGGGCAAAUUGAUGGUAACGCAAGAGGAAGAGACGGCUAACUCUGUGCCAGCAGCCGCGGUAAUACAGAGGUCUCAAGCGUUGUUCGGAAUCACUGGGCGUAAAGGGUGCGUAGGUGGCGUGGUAAGUCAGAUGUGAAAGCCCGGGGCUCAACCGCGGAACUGCAUCCGAUACUGCCAUGCUAGAGUACUGGAGAGGUGACUAGAAUUCUCGGUGUAGCAGUGCAAUGCGUAGAUAUCGAGAGGAAUACCAAAGGCGUAGGCAGGUCACUGGACAGUUACUGACACUGAGGCACGAAGGCCAGGGGAGCGAACGGGAUUAGAAACCCCGGUAGUCC